CUCCUGCUUUUUUCCUACACUCUCUCCUCCCUCCUCUCCUCCCUCUUUCUCCUGUUUGAUUUCCACCUCUUUUCUCUCCUCUCUCCUCUGAAUCUGCCUCUUCCUCUUCUCACCUCCCUCUUCCUUCCCUGUCUCUCCCCCUUGGGUCUCUCUUCCUUCCCUCUCUCUGGUUUCUCUGUCUCUGCCCUGUCCUUUCCUUUCCCUCCUCUCUGGACCUGUCUCCUCUCCUGGCUCUCUCUCCUUCAAGCUCUCACUCCCACUGGCCUCCCUCCCGGGAGCCCCGUCUCCUCCGUCUCCAGGUGGCCCCUGCAUCCCUGCCUGGUGGGCCUUUGCCUCCCUCUCCUGUUCCUGCCUUGCCUGCUCCCAGGUUUCCAGGUCCUGACCAGGAGGCAGGAGUCCAUACCGAGGCCCAAACAGGCUAGCCCUGAGCAGGGCCCCCAAGCCUGAGGCCCAGGAGUGGACAGACCUUUGUGACACCCAUUCUCUCUUCCUUUUCCAUCUGUCCGGAACUCUGGACACUGCCUGGAGGAAUCAGGCCUGCCGUAGGCCCAGGAAGGCGGAAACAAAGACGACGCUCAGAGACAGGAAGCAACUUGCCUAAAGAUACACAGCACAAAUGAGAAAAUUGGUGCCCAAUGUUUCUGAAGACCAGCAACUGCUAAGACAGAGACUUCGAGGGAACCCGACCUUGCCUGAAGGACCAACAGCGCCCCCUGCAGGACACUUCCCUCCAUUGAGAGAAGCCACAGGCGCCGGCCUGAGGCAUUCUGAGUGCGUGGAAUCCUCUAUUACCACCUCCUGGCAAAGAACGGAGCUGCAACCCAGCUAUAUGAGACACCGAGAAUGAUCUCAACAAAAAGGAACAGUGACCAGAAUGCCUGGGGGAGGAACAGGGGAUACUGGGUGGAAGGAGGGGAGAGGGAGAAGUUGUAAUAUUUUGUAAAAAUGAACAUUUUUACUCCUAAUCAAUAUACAAACAUCAUGCUCAGCAAA
rnacentral:lncRNA from 1 species